UACGUAGGGUGCAAGCGUUGUCCGGAAUCAUUGGGCGUAAAGCGCGCGUAGGUGGCUUCGUAAGUCCGUUGUGAAAGUCAAAGGCUCAACCUUUGAAUGCCGAUGGAUACUGCGAAGCUAGAGUACGGAAGAGGCGAGUGGAAUUCCUGGUGUAGCGGUGGAAUGCGCAGAUAUCAGGAAGAACACCCGUGGCUAAGGCGGCUCUCUAGUACGGUACUGACGCUGAGACGCGAAAGCGUGGGGAGCGAACAGG
rnacentral:rRNA from 1 species